UACGAAGGGGGCUAGCGUUGCUCGGAAUCACUGGGCGUAAAGCGCACGUAGGCGGCUUCUUAAGUCAGGGGUGAAAUCCUGGAGCUCAACUCCAGAACUACCUUUGAUACUGGGAGGCUCGAGUCCGGAAGAGGUGAGUGGAACUGCGAGUGUAGAGGUGAAAUUCGUAGAUAUUCGCAAGAACACCAGUGGCGAAGGCGGCUCACUGGUCCGGUACUGACGCUGAGGUGCGAAAGCGUGGGGAGCAAACAGG
rnacentral:rRNA from 1 species